rnacentral:pre_miRNA from 1 species
GCUAGGUAUUUUUGACCGACAUUAGACAUGACUAUUUUUAGUCGACAUUGACUAAGUUUUUACAGUCGACAUCCACUAGAGUUUUUUCGAUCGACAUCGGUCAAAGCAAUUUUUUAGCCAACAUCAAUCAAGGCUAUUUUAUAGCCGAUGUUGGGUAGGGUUUUUUAUUCGACAUCAGUCAGGGCUAUUUUUUAGCCAACUUCGACUAGAGAUUUUUCAGCCAACAUUGACUAAUGAUGUUUUUCAGUCGACAUCGGGUAGGUUCUAUUGGUCGGCAUCGACCAAGCUAUUUUUUAGUCGAUACUAGAUAGAUUUUUUUGUCAACGCCUGCUAGGAUUUUUUAGGUUGACGUUGGCUAAAAAUAGUCUUGGUCAAUGUCGUUCGAAAAAACCCUAGU